GGCACUGCUCCUUGCAGCUAGUCACUGCAGGGUUGUCAGAGCUGUUGCUGGACGUGCAGAAGGGAGAGAUGAAACAUGGACCGAGGGCGGCAGCCAAACGGGAUCCUCAAAACUUGUUUGCUGCUGAAAUGGGAGAAUUGAAUAUUUUUCCACUUAAUCUAAAAAUUGGCCUUGGUUUCUUGGAAUGUUUCUCACCUCCUCUCAGCAUCAUCUACUGGAAAGAAGGCUCAAGAGAAAGUUGGGGAAGAUCUAUCAAUGAAACACCCGAGGAAACCCACCCUGAUACCUUCAUUUCUCCAUUUGUGCAGCCCACGUUGUGGUGUAAUGCAAAUCUAUGGCUAUACUGUAUCACAGCGAAUAAAUCCAUUUGGAGAAAAAGGCACCUGGUGAAAGGCCACAGUGCAAUGGAAUGCAAUGCUGCUAUGUGCAAUGCUGCUUACAAGAAAACUUUGGAUUACUUCUUGGCAAACUAGAUAUGCAAACGCCAGAAUACAGUAAAACCACAUUUAAUUGGACCUACUUGCCAACUUCUUGAACACAGCUUGGAUUAUUCCACUGGAGGCUGCUUCUGUUAAAAGCUGGGGGAGGAGGAAGUGGCAUAUUGACAAGACUUCAGAUAAUUUUUUUUUCACUCGAAGUACAAUUAUGCAAUGAGCCAAGUUUGGAAGUAUUUUACUAUGUUUAAUAAUUAUUAUUAAAGAUAUUGUAAAACAUAUGCAUUUGUUAAGUGGAAUGUAAUGGGAGUAAAAUCAUGUCAUCAAUUUUCCUUUGGAUUUAUUUUCCCAUUUUGUGUUUUAUUUGACAGCCUUCCAAAUUGAUUCUAGCCAAAACCAUGCACUCUAAUAUAUAUCAUACUUGAUAUUAAAGUGAGAAUGCGAGUAAUUUAUAGAAUCUGAGUGAGAACAGUUUUCUUCUCUUAGCCAGCCUAUAUGGAGCUGCCACCUCUGCUCAGGUAGCAACCGACACAUGCCUUGUACACAGAAAGGAAAAUAAUAGGGGUCGAGAAAUCCUCCACACAUCCUUCCUGAUAGACACUCCAAAACCCACAUAUCCCAGGCAUUGUUCAGUGGGAGAUCAGGGGCAAGGAGAAGGAUAACUAUUUCUUUAUGUGUGUGUGAAUCUAGAGGAACCAGACUUGUCUCUGGAAAUGCAAGUGGGAAGUGGGAUUCACUGAGAAGCCAUCAUUCUGCUCAGGUGAGUCCUGACUUCAGGCGAGGGAUCCUAAAGGUGACACCGCGAUCCUUCACCUGGAAAGCCAAGGAGACAUGACAUCAGUGUGUUUCACAUCCUAAGCUUAAACAAAUGUAUAUUGUUUUUACCGCCUCUUUCUCAAGGGGGAACACUGCCCCUGAAACUGCACUCCUUGAAACCGAGCAAAGGUGCCAUCGCUAAUGAUUAGCAAGACGCUCCGGAUGGUUUGCAUCGAACUCCACCUGCUAUGUGAAAACCCCAUGCUUUUCUCACUUUCCCAUUCAAGCUGCUUAGCAGUUGGGUCCUCUCCUCUGAGUGUGGUUAUGUGUCAGUUUGACUUCUGUGUGCCCUGCGAUUUCGUUGUUUUCUUCUGCCCUGCCACAGCAAAUGACCAGUGGAGGCAACCAGCGGACGGAGGAAAAGGGCAGGUCCCUGCAUCCAUCUCAGCGCCCUGCAGCCGGCGGCCUGUCCUUUCAGGCGGGAGUUCCCAGCGGCGUUCCUAGGUGUUUUGAAUGUGUGCCCCGGGGCUGGGGGAAGCCUCGUGCAGUUCUGCUGCUGUGGGAGGCAGGGGGGACUGGAGGGGACGGGAGCAGUGUGAGGCUUUCAUGUGCAGAGGGGACAUGAGGACAUCUGGAUGGCAUCCCUGUGAGCAGGGCUCCCGCUGCAGGCCUUUGAAAACCCCGCUGCCCUGGCUCCCCAGUGCCUUGGAACUUUCUCCCUGGAGAAUGCAGAAAAGCCAGUGCCCUUGAUUUCUUAGACAUCUACAGCUUCGACACGUGCAGGGUUAUCCAGGAGCAGUGAGGUUUGGGGUGAGGGCCUGAGCACUUUCUGAAAAGUGCUUGUUUCUAAGAACCUGGAACUAUGAGUGAGGAGUGACAUGAGUUCUGCCCUCAAGUCCUCUGAUAACCAGCUGUGCAGUCUUGAACAAGUGACUUCAUCUCUUCAUCUUUAAAAUAAACCUUUUGGGCCAAAUGA
rnacentral:lncRNA from 1 species